GACGAACGCUGGCGGCGUGCUUAACACAUGCAAGUCGAACGGAAAGGCCCUGCUUUUGUGGGGUGCUCGAGUGGCGAACGGGUGAGUAACACGUGAGUAACCUGCCCUUGACUUUGGGAUAACUUCAGGAAACUGGGGCUAAUACCGGAUAGGAGCUCCUGCUGCAUGGGGGGGGUUGGAAAGUUUCGGCGGUUGGGGAUGGACUCGCGGCUUAUCAGCUUGUUGGUGGGGUAGUGGCUUACCAAGGCUUUGACGGGUAGCCGGCCUGAGAGGGUGACCGGCCACCUUGGGACUGAGAUACGGCCCAGACUGCUACGGGAGGCAGCAGUGGGAAAUAUUGCACAAUGGGCGGGAGCCUGAUGCAGCAGCGCCGCGUGCGGGAUGACGGCCUUCGGGUUGUAAACCGCUUUCGCCUGUGACGAAGCGUGAGUGACGGUAAUGGGUAAAGAAGCACCGGCUAACUACGUG
rnacentral:rRNA from 1 species